rnacentral:rRNA from 1 species
AUUGAACGCUGGCGGCAUGCCUUACACAUGCAAGUCGAACGGUAACAGGUCUUCGGACGCCGACGAGUGGCGAACGGGUGAGUAAUACAUCGGAAUGUGCCUAGUAGUGGGGGAUAACUACUCGAAAGAGUGGCUAAUACCGCAUGAGAUCUACGGAUGAAAGCAGGGGAUCGCAAGACCUUGUGCUACUAGAGCGGCUGAUGGCAGAUUAGGUAGUUGGUGGGAUAAAAGCUUACCAAGCCGACGAUCUGUAGCUGGUCUGAGAGGACGAUCAGCCACACUGGGACGGAGACACGGCCCAGACUCCUACGGGAGGCAGCAGUGGGGAAUUUUGGACAAUGGGCGCAAGCCUGAUCCAGCAAUGCCGCGUGCAGGAUGAAGGCCUUCGGGUUGUAAACUGCUUUUAAACGGGAAGAUGGAACGGGCAACCGUUCGGACGGUACCUGCAGAAGCAGCCACGGCUAACUUCGUGCCAGCAGCCGCCGUAAGAC